CCAGCCGCCGCGGUUACACCACGUGGCUCAAGUUGAUUUUAUUCGGCGUAAAGCGUGAUUUAAGAGAUCUGCCCAUGGUGUUAAAAAGGCACUAAGCNNNGACACGCNUGUUCCUAAGAAGCCCAAAAACGAAAGUUACACCAACCGCACUAACUUGAACCCACGACAGCUUGGAAACAAACUGGGAUUAGAUACCCCACUAUGCCNNGCCGUAAACUUUUAUUNACAUCCGAAUCGCCCGGGAACUACGAGCAAAGCUUAAAACCCAAAGGACUUGACGGUAUCCCAAAUCCACCUAGAGGAGCCUGUCCUAUAAUCGAUAACCCCCGCUUAACCUCACCUCUUUUUGCCUUUCAGCCUGUAUACCUCCGUCGUCAGCUUACCACGUGAGUNCCACUAAGNGAGCCUAAUGUCCACACGUCAACACGUCAGGUCAAGGUGCAGCUAAUGAAGAGGGAAGAGAUGGGCUACACUCUCUACUUUAGAAAAAACAAAAAACUUCAUGAAAUCUAGUUAGAAGGAGGAUUUAGUAGUAAAAAGAAAACAGAGUGUUCUUUUUAACCCGGCACUGGGAUGUGUACACNCCGCNCGUCACCCUCUUCAUAGUCUUAUCCAAUUAUUUUAAUAAUCUUCGA
rnacentral:rRNA from 1 species